GAGGAAUUAAACAACUGUCCAAUUAUUGCCCGGAUCCGGGGGAACCUGAGAACGGCAAACGCCGAGGCUCUGACUUCAGCAUUGGAGCGACGGCUCAGUUUACCUGUGAUGAGGACCAUGUGCUGCAGGGCUCCAAAACCAUCACCUGUCAGAGGGUGGCUGAGGUGUUCGCUGCCUGGAGCGACCACAGACCUGUCUGUAAAGUGAAAACGUGUGGAUCGACACUCCAGGGUCCAUCGGGGACGUUCACCUCUCCCAAUUUCCCCAUCCAGUAUGAGAGUAAUUCCCACUGUGUGUGGAUUAUCACUGCUAGUAACCCCAAUAAGGU